UGUUAGGUAGGAUUUUAUGGAUUAUCAGAUAGUUUUAUUCAUUCGAUUAUAUAUGUUCUUUUCUCUGUAUCGUGAAAUUUCAUGAAUUUUUGUAAAACCAUUCUAUUUGAUUCUUUGUUCGAUCGGUUCUGUAGCCUUAGAUAUUUACUAUUUUAUGAGGUACACGGCGCUGUCUAUUACGCCUCGAGUUUGGGGCGUGACAUCUAACUUGUGAGAACAAUUUCUCGCCAACGCCCUCCACCGGUUGAUACAUAUGCUAAUACUUUUCAGAACAUGGAGAGUGAAUCAACACUACAACAGAAUUAGGUUAUAGGGACACAUAUUUGGGACACUUUUGAAUAAGUGUCCUAUUUAUGCUAAAACUUAAAAAAAUAUCUACUAAUGCCUAAAUAUAAAGUCCAAUCCAAUCAAAAAUAAAAGAUUACUCUACUCAACCCACCACACCCAGUCCAUUUGACCCGAUUACAAACAGAAAAAAAAAAAAAAAGAAAAAUCAAUUACCAUCUUUUCUUCUCUCUUCACUCAAUCUACUGAAAUUCUAGACGAAGAGCCUUUCCUGUCGUCCUCCUCCGCCACCGCAGCCAACGAGAUAGAGUUUCGGCGGUUGCUAAAUGCUUAAAUAAAUGUUGGUAAAUUAGCAGCACUCUUUUAGGUUAUAGCGACACUUUUUAACUGUCACUAUAUACCUAGCGACCCCACGUAUAGCAACACUUUUAAAAAGUGUCGGUAAUUUUAGCUAGCAGCACUUUUUUGACAUGUACCUACAUUUAAAAGUGUCGCUAUAAACCGUUUUUGUUGUAGUGCAAAUCCAUGUUUGAAAUGAAAUUGAGAUACUAAUGCAAGAGUCAGAAAUUAUCUAUAUAGCUGGUCGAG
rnacentral:lncRNA from 1 species